rnacentral:rRNA from 1 species
AGAGUUUGAUCCUGGCUCAGGAUGAACGCUGGCGGCGUGCUUAACACAUGCAAGUCGAACGAACCUUCGGGUUAGUGGCGGACGGGUGAGUAACGCGUGAGAAUCUGCCCUCAGGAGGGGGACAACAGCUGGAAACGGCUGCUAAUACCCCAUAUGCCGCGAGGUGAAAUGAAUUUCGCCUGAGGAUGAGCUCGCGUCUGAUUAGCUAGUUGGUGCAGGUAAUGGCUUACCAAGGCAUCGAUCAGUAGCUGGUCUGAGAGGAUGAUCAGCCACACUGGGACUGAGACACGGCCCAGACUCCUACGGGAGGCAGCAGUGGGGAAUUUUCCGCAAUGGGCGAAAGCCUGACGGAGCAACGCCGCGUGAGGGAUGAAGGCCUCUGGGCUGUAAACCUCUUUUAUCAAGGAAGAAGAUCUGACGGUACUUGAUGAAUAAGCCACGGCUAAUUCCGUGCCAGCAGCCGCGGUAAUACGGGAGUGGCAAGCGUUAUCCGGAAUUAUUGGGCGUAAAGCGUCCGCAGGCGGCCCUUCAAGUCUGCUGUUAAAAAGUGGAGCUUAACUCCAUCAUGGCAGUGGAAACUGUUGGGCUUGGGUGUGGUAGGGGCAGAGGGAAUUCCCGGUGUAGCGGUGAAAUGCGUAGAUAUCGGGAAGAACACCAGUGGCGAAGGCGCUCUGCUGGGCCAUCACUGACGCUCAUGGACGAAAGCCAGGGGAGCGAAAGGGAUUAGAUACCCCUGUAGUCCUGGCCGUAAACGAUGAACACUAGGUGUCGGGGGAAUCGACCCCCUCGGUGUCGUAGCCAACGCGUUAAGUGUUCCGCCUGGGGAGUACGCACGCAAGUGUGAAACUCAAAGGAAUUGACGGGGGCCCGCACAAGCGGUGGAGUAUGUGGUUUAAUUCGAUGCAACGCGAAGAACCUUACCAGGGUUUGACAUCCUGCGAAUCUCUUGGAAACAGGAGAGUGCCUUCGGGAACGCAGUGACAGGUGGUGCAUGGCUGUCGUCAGCUCGUGUCGUGAGGUGUUGGGUUAAGUCCCGCAACGAGCGCAACCCACGUCUUUAGUUGCCAGCAUUUAGUUGGGCACUCUAGAAAGACUGCCGGUGAUAAACCGGAGGAAGGUGUGGAUGACGUCAAGUCAUCAUGCCCCUUACAUCCUGGGCUACACACGUACUACAAUGCUACGGACAAAGGGCUGCAAGUUCGCGAGGACAAGCAAAUCCCAUAAACCGUGGCUCAGUUCAGAUCGUAGGCUGCAACUCGCCUACGUGAAGGCGGAAUCGCUAGUAAUCGCAGGUCAGCAUACUGCGGUGAAUACGUUCCCGGGCCUUGUACACACCGCCCGUCACACCAUGGAAGUUGGCCACGCCCGAAGCCGUUACUCCAACCCUUGUGGAGGAGGACGUCGAAGGUGGGGCUGAUGACUGGGGUGAAGUCGUAACAAGGUAACC